rnacentral:rRNA from 1 species
AUUGAACGCUGGCGGCAGGCCUAACACAUGCAAGUCGAACGAGUGGCGGACGGGUGAGUAAUGUCUGUGAAUCUGCCUGAUGGAGGGGGAUAAGUACUGGACGCGGUAGCUAAUACCGCAUACCAUCAGAUGUGCCCAGAUGGGAUUAGCUUGUUGGUGGGGUAAAGGCGCACCAAGGCGACGAUCCGUAGCUGGUCUGAGAGGAUGACCAGCCACACUGGAACUGAGACACGGUCCAGACUCCUACGGGAGGCAGCAGUGGGGAAUAUUGGACAAUGGGCGCAAGCCUGAUGCAGCCAUGCCGCGUGUAUGAAGAAGGCCUUCGGGUUGUAAAGUACUUUCAGCGGGGAGGCGUUACCCGCAGAAGAAGCACCGGCUAACUCCGUGCCAGCAGCCGCGGUAAUUC